GGCUUAACACAUGCAAGUCGAGGGGCAUCAGGAAGAAAGCUUGCUUUCUUUGCUGGCGACCGGCGCACGGGUGAGUAACACGUAUCCAACCUGCCCUUUACUCGGGGAUAGCCUUUCGAAAGAAAGAUUAAUACCCGAUGGCAUAAUGAUUCCGCAUGGUUUCAUUAUUAAAGGAUUCCGGUAAAGGAUGGGGAUGCGUUCCAUUAGGUUGUUGGUGAGGUAACGGCCCACCAAGCCUUCGAUGGAUAGGGGUUCUGAGAGGAAGGUCCCCCACAUUGGAACUGAGACACGGUCCAAACUCCUACGGGAGGCAGCAGUGAGGAAUAUUGGUCAAUGGGCGGUAGCCUGAACCAGCCAAGUAGCGUGAAGGAUGAAGGCUCUAUGGGUCGUAAACUUCUUUUAUAUAAGAAUAAAGUGCAGUAUGUAUACUGUUUUGUAUGUAUUAUAUGAAUAAGGAUCGGCUAACUCCGUGCCAGCAGCCGCGGUAAUACGGAGGAUCCGAGCGUUAUCCGGAUUUAUUGGGUUUAAAGGGAGCGUAGGUGGACUGGUAAGUCAGUUGUGAAAGUUUGUGGCUCAACCGUAAAAUUGCAGUUGAUACUGUCAGUCUUGAGUACAGUAGAGGUGGGCGGAAUUCGUGGUGUAGCGGUGAAAUGCUUAGAUAUCACGAAGAACUCCGAUUGCGAAAGCAGCUCACUGGACUGCAACUGGCACUGAUGCUCGAAAGUGUGGGUAUCAAACAGGAUUAGAUACCCUGGUAGUCCACACAGUAAACGAUGAAUACUCGCUGUUUGCGAUAUUCAGUAAGCGGCCAAGCGAAAGCAUUAAGUAUUCCACCUGGGGAGUACGCCGGCAACGGUGAAACUCAAAGGAAUUGACGGGGGCCCGCACAAGCGGAGGAACAUGUGGUUUAAUUCGAUGAUACGCGAGGAACCUUACCCGGGCUUAAAUUGCAGUGGAAUGAUGUGGAAACAUGUCAGUGAGCAAUCACCGCUGUGAAGGUGCUGCAUGGUUGUCGUCAGCUCGUGCCGUGAGGUGUCGGCUUAAGUGCCAUAACGAGCGCAACCCUUAUCUUCAGUUACUAACAGGUUAUGCUGAGGACUCCGGAGAGACUGCCGUCGUAAGAUGUGAGGAAGGUGGGGAUGACGUCAAAUCAGCACGGCCCUUACGUCCGGGGCUACACACGUGUUACAAUGGGGGGUACAGAAGGCAGCUAGCGGGUGACCGUAUGCUAAUCCCAAAAUCCUCUCUCAGUUCGGAUCGAAGUCUGCAACCCGACUUCGUGAAGCUGGAUUCGCUAGUAAUCGCGCAUCAGCCACGGCGCGGUGAAUACGUUCCCGGGCCUUGUACACACCGCCCGUCAAGCCAUGGGAGCCGGGGGUACCUGAAGUACGUGA
rnacentral:rRNA from 1 species